UCAGUAGGUGGCGAGCGUUAUCCGGAUUUACUGGGCGUAAAGCGCUUGUAGGCGGCUUCGUAAGUUGGGCGUGAAAGCUCCGGGCUUAACCCGGAGAGGCCGUCCAAUACUGCGGAGCUCGAGGGUGCCAGAGGAAGGUGGAAUUCCUGGUGUAGCGGUGAAAUGCGUAGAUAUCGGGAAGAACACCUGAGGCGAAAGCGCGCAACUGGGCCCUAACUGACGCUGAGGUACGAAAGCUAGGGGAGGGAAUGGG
rnacentral:rRNA from 1 species